CUUUUUUUCAAUUUUCCUCGAAUACUUUCAGUUUUUCCUCUCUCCCCUUUUCCUUCUCCGUCUUCUUUCUUCUUUGUGGAUUUCAGACCUGCAAAACCUCCUUUAAUCCUUCUCAAAGCUCGCCAUGAGACCGGAGUUCCCAAAAACACCCGAGGCUGCUCUCGGAGAUAGGGUCUAGUUCGGGGCUCGAGGUCAAGAUGCUGGUGGCCGAUCUCAAUAGCUAAGUCCUCUCCCUUCCUCUAAAAUAUUUUUAAUUCUUUUCCUGAAAUGUGAUUGUCCUGUAAUGUUAUUCUGGGUGAAAAACUGGUUUGUUUGGAUGAUCUGUGAUGCCUAGAGUUGAUGGUGGAAAUGCUUAAUUGGGUAAAGUUGCAUGAGAGUAUGCAGUCUUUAUUUUUGUGAUUGGGUGAGCCAAGACCUCGGAUUGAAGUUCCUAUUGGGGUUCUGGUCUUGGGUUGAAGAUGAGCUGACUCGUCUCGACCCGGCGAGUUGAUGUUCGGGUUGACUCAUAUGAGUCCACCCGAGUGAGUGACUUGCUUGGGUAAACCUGAGUUUAUCUAAUGAGCCUGAGUAGGGAAGUGGGCUUAAUGAGAACUACAGAACAGGAACGGGCCCGCGGGUUUGAUGUGAAUUAAGAGUGGACUUCUGGUUUCACUUAAAGCACGGAUAGGCUAGGGUGCUUUCAGUUGGGCUUGGGUUUGGUUUAAGACACAGGAAGGCUUCAGGGUUUGUUUGAAAAAUGGGCUGGUCAUUUUAAAAAAAAACAAACAAUGGGCUGGUUUAAAAGAAAUAGCAUGGGCUGGGGUUAUUUUUAAAAUGAGUUGUGGGCUUGUUUUCAAAACGGGCUUUGUGUGGAUCUUGCGGGUUAUCUGGGAAAUGGGCUUUGGGUGGUUAACUUAUUUUUCAAUUGGGCUUCCGCCGGUUUGAGUAUAGGGUCGCAUUGAAAUUCCGUGUUUCAAUCUUGGGUUCAAGUCGGGUUUGACUCGAAUAUCUGGACAAGUUGGCUAGGGUUGGAUUUGUUGAUAUGGGUUGUCGGGUCUGUUCACUCAGAUUCGGAUAUCUUGACCCAAUUUUGACACUCGGAUUCUGACAUGCAAGUUUCAAAGCACUCAAUUAAGUGCAUGUAAACCGAUGCCCUAUCACAAGGCCUAUUGAGUAACCUCCCAGGAUCACCCAGUCGCGGGAGUUAGUUUCAGUAAAACCAGUUGCAAUUCCAAUCAAGAACAAAAUUUAACAUCGACUAAUUAUGUGAAUAAACUCACUCCCCAAAACGUGUUCAGUAAUCAUGCAAUAAACUCCAGUGCCAAAACAGUCCACAAUACCCUGUCGAUUGCCCGACCAACCACUCAAAUUUACCCUAUCGAAUUGAGUCAAACCAACCAACGAUGCGAUUUCAGAGCUAGAAUAAAAUAGAUACACUGUAAGAGUGAGGAUUCUUACCUUUUGGAAUUUCUCUCCGCUGCCUCUAUAUUUGAUCUUGGACCUUUAGUCUCUCCCUCUCCAAUCUCUUCUUCCCUUCCCCGGUUCUUCCUUUGGUCUCUUCUGCCACUUUCUUUCUAGUUCACUUUGGUUCUGCAGAUGGUCUGAGCUUUAGAGUUACUAUGAACUGCUGUACGCGCUCAAAUGCUUCAUUUCUCUCAAUUUCUCUAUGAUUUUUCUCCACUUUCCUUUCUUUUCUCGAUUCUUGCAUAGCAUUUCACUAUCCUCUCCCCUCUCCUUUGCAGAGCGAGCUCAUCCCUAUAUAUAGGGGAGCUGGGGCAGCCUCUUGGCGCCAAUUUCCAUCCUGCUUAACAGAUUUCCCCACCAACGAACUUGGCAGGGAAUAAUUCCCUUCCCUCUACUCACGUGAACCUCUGAUUUUAUUUACAUAUAUAUAUAUAUAUAUAUAUAUAUAUAUAUAUAUAUGUUGGAAUUUCUACUAACCAACUCUGCUGUUUCUCUCCUCUGUGUCCAGGUGAUCGAGAAGAUGUAAGGUGGCAACAGGGGAAUGGCGGGCAGUUUGUUAUUUUGGUUUUUACUCUUGAAAUUUUAUUUUGUGAAUUCUUUCUGAUAACUAACUCACCUGUUUCUUUCUUCUGCGUGGAGGUGACUCUUGGGAAGAUCCCAGCUGGCAGCUGGGUAUUGGAGGGCAUGGCAUUUUUAUUUUUGUAUUUUUAUCCAUUUUAUUAUUUUUUUGAAAUUUCCAUGUACCCCUAUUUUUCCUGCAACUAUUAUUUGUAAACCCUUUGUUUUGUAUCUCUCCAUUUCAGUAUGUAACUUUCCAUUAUUCAUUUUCCGCCUGUAUAUGUACCCCAGCGAGGGUACUUGCCCAUCCUAAUACAAUGCAAAUUUAAUUUUGUUCUGA